AGUGAACGCUGGCGGUAGGCCUAACACAUGCAAGUCGAACGGCAGCACAGUAAGAGCUUGCUCUUACGGGUGGCGAGUGGCGGACGGGUGAGGAAUACAUCGGAAUCUACUUUUUCGUGGGGGAUAACGUAGGGAAACUUACGCUAAUACCGCAUACGACCUACGGGUGAAAGCAGGGGAUCUUCGGACCUUGCGCGAUUGAAUGAGCCGAUGUCGGAUUAGCUAGUUGGCGGGGUAAAGGCCCACCAAGGCGACGAUCCGUAGCUGGUCUGAGAGGAUGAUAAGCCACACUGGAACUGAGACACGGUCCAGACUCCUACGGGAGGCAGCAGUGGGGAAUAUUGGAAAAUGGGCGCAAGCCUGAUCCAGCCAUACCGCGUGGGUGAAGAAGGCCUUCGGGUUGUAAAGCCCUUUUGUUGGGAAAGAAAAGCAGCAGGUUAAUACCCCGCUGUUCUGACGGUACCCAAAGAAUAAGCACCGGCUAACUUCGUG
rnacentral:rRNA from 1 species